UGAGGAACAUGACUUUCGGCGGGGGAUAGCCGGCCCAACGGCCGGGUAAUACCGCGUACGACCUCUUGGGGACAUCCCCGAUUGGUGAAAGCAGCAAUGCGCCGAAAGAGUGCCUCGCGGCCUAUCAGCUAGUUGGUGGGGUAAUGGCUCACCAAGGCGACGACGGGUAGCUGGUCUGAGAGGAUGGCCAGCCACAUUGGGACUGAGACACGGCCCAGACUCCGUACGGGGGGCAGCAGG
rnacentral:rRNA from 1 species